rnacentral:rRNA from 1 species
GGGGAAUAUUGGACAAUGGGGGCAACCCUGAUCCAGCAAUGCCGCGUGUGUGAAGAAGGUCUUCGGAUUGUAAAGCACUUUCGACGGGGACGAUGAUGACGGUACCCGUAGAAGAAGCCCCGGCUAACUUCGUGCCAGCAGCCGCGGUAAUACGAAGGGGGCUAGCGUUGCUCGGAAUGACUGGGCGUAAAGGGCGUGUAGGCGGUUUACACAGUCAGAUGUGAAAUCCCCGGGCUUAACCUGGGAGCUGCAUUUGAUACGUGUAGACUAGAGUGUGAGAGAGGGUUUGUGGAAUUCCCAGUGUAGAGGUGAAAUUC